rnacentral:rRNA from 1 species
AUAGGGAGCAAGCGUUAUCCGGAUUUAUUGGGUGUAAAGUGUGCGUAGACGGGAAUUUAAGUUGGUUGUGAAAUCCCUCGGCUCAACUGAGGAACUGCAACCAAAACUGGAUUUCUUGAGUGCUGGAGAGGAAAGUGGAAUUCCUAGUGUAGUGGUGAAAUGCGUAGAUAUUAGGAGGAACACCAGUGGCGAAGGCGACUUUCUGGACAGUAACUGACGUUGAGGCACGAAAGUGUGGGGAGCAAA